rnacentral:rRNA from 1 species
GACAGAGGUGCCGAGCGUUAGGCGGAAUCACUGGGCUUAAAGCGUGUGUAGGCGGGCCGUUAAGUGCCUUGUGAAAUCCCCCGGCUCAACCGGGGAACGGCUGGGCAUACUGGCGGCCUUGAGUCACUCAGGGGUCAGCGGAACAAACGGUGGAGCGGUGAAAUGCGUAGAUAUCGUUUGGAACGCCGACGGCGAAAGCAGCUGACUGGGAGUGAUCUGACGCUGAGACACGAAAGCCAGGG